CAGAUAGGAUGGCUUUCCCUGAAGCCAGUGGACAGGAGUGGAUGGCCAAAAAAAAUUGGGCUCCAGAGAGAAUAGAAAGGUCAGCUGGAUGCUGGACAGGCCAGCUACAGUGCAGACACUUCUUGAGGAUUGUAUCUCAGAAGGAUAUCAGGAAUUUUCUACUGGACACCAAAAGCUAUUCGGCCAUCUUCCUUCCUUCCAAUCUGCUACAUUUGGGUCCGAGAGUCUUCUUAUAGUCUUCCUAUUUAUCACCAAGGGAUUUAAAUAAUUUGCAUUCAACUUUUCUAAAUUCGAGACAGCUACAUAGGUGAUUGGCAAGAUUCUUCAUUAAUAACAUCUGGAAAUUUCAAUUUGAAGAUACAGGACUCCAGGAAUAGAUCACCUGAAAGAUAAGUUGAAUGUGUUUUCUUAUUUCUCUCAUGUUCAAUAUACAGAGAGAACUUCCACCAGAUUUAAUUGCCUCCCCCUUUCAUUGAUAUCUGGCUCCUAUAAAGAGAUUCAAGACAGGAAGAUGCAAAGAUUUUUAAAAUGUGUGAUGAAAAAGCAUACAAAAUACAUUUUUCUUUAUUAUUAGAGUCCUCCGAUGCCUUUAAGUUGUUUUAAAAUUUUCUAAGUGCUUAGUCUCUAUUUAUGUCCUUACUUUAUCAUGGAUGAGUAGCAAGUUGAUCACAGAUGGCCACAAGUCCCUUGGCUGCACUUUGAACAGUACUUUAAUAGAUUGACUUCCUAAUGUCAAUCUUCUCUUUCUACCUCACUCACAGCCUGAAGACCCUUAGCUAUAGAAAUAGCUCUUUUACUAGAUAAUGAUACUCAACAAUUUUUAAAUGUUUAACAUACUUCAAGUACUGCUUGAAGUAGUUUGUCUAAUGUAAACUUUUUUUAUUUUAGUAAAAUACAUAUGAAAAAAAUUUUACUAUCUUAACGAUUUAAAAAACAUCUGAUGAAAAGGAUCAUGACUAUUUUCAAGAAAAGUUUAUAAAGACUAGAACCCAGAUUGAGCUAUUAUAGGCCAACAAACACAGAAAGCAAACCUGUGAUGAGUCAGAGUAGCUAUAUUUCCAGGAAAGGAGUAUUUUUUGGAAUUGAAGAUAUCCCAGGAGGGCUUUUUAAAACCAAAUUGACAUCAUAAUUUAUAAAAAGCUUUCUAUCAUGAUGUUUUUAACAUUAGAGCAUAAAUAUUACUAUGUAAAACACAAUUUUUGUUUUUAUAUAUUUUUAUAUGACUGCAGUGGAUGCAUUUUGUAUUUUUAAAACUUUCUCAUGUUUAUUUUUUUUAAGCUGGAAUUAUAGGUGUGUGC